GUGGUGGUGGUGCUAGUGAUACCGUGGAGCACGGAGGAGGCCCCUUUGCUGGCUGACACAGAUGGAUGGCUCAACUCUCUGCCCGGUCUUCACUGGCACUGCUCUGGGGCACCAUGGACAGACCUGCCAGGUUUGGGCCUGCUCAGCCACUCGACCACAUUCCACCGGCAGCCACAGUUUGUCUUGGCAAGGUCAGCCUCCAGGCCCAGCUCCAGGAAGGCCCUGGGGAGCAGCCCAGACAAACCAGCUUUCACCACAGAAGCCAGCGCUGGCUGGGCUUGAGGCAGUGCCAGCCUGAGAGUGGCUGGAGCCUCCCCCACCCACCUAAAGGUGAACUCAGUUCUGGGUGAGCGGGUGGGUGCGUGGAGGGGGCAGGCUCCUACAUGGGUGGAACCCCCAGAGAGGCAGCAGGGGCAGGAGCCAAGCCAGAGGGUUUUUCUGCCCUACACGAAUCAGCCCUUCAGGAACUGGACUCAUGGGAUGACUGCCCGGAGCUGCGGCAGCCUAGCCCGAGCCUCCUCCUCACACCCCACCAGAUGAGGGUGCAUCAGGGCAGCGCUCGCUCCCAGGCUGGCAGGGGAGGGGCAGGAGAGGCUUUGGAGAAUGAAGAUGCUGGGAUGCUGAGCCCCAGGGAACAGCAAAUCUGCUACUGGACGGCCAGCUUUCCUUCCCCCAUAAACACUUGGCGCCUUCUCUCUCAAGGAAUAAAAUACUCAAAAAGGAAUGUAUACAAAUAAAACCGUCUUGUUGCUGUUCCUGCCCUGCUAGGCAGCCUCUCCUGCAUCUUUAGAGCCAUGAAUUCUCUUCCGUUCUGUCUCCAGUGGGGGUCUCUGAGACCCUCCUACCCAUUCUGCUUGGCAGUCUCUGCAGCUUCAAACCCAGGACCUCCCACCCUCCUGAGGCUGCCACUCUGUGACCCCCUGCCAAGAUGACAUAACUAUGUAGCUAAGAAAAUUCAAGAUAAUCUAAGGAUAAGUGG
rnacentral:lncRNA from 1 species